UACUAGAGUAGCACUCGCAUAUCAAUAAGCGGAGGAAAAGAAACUAACAAGGAUUCCCCUAGUAACGGCGAGCGAAGCGGGAAGAGCUCAAAUUUGAAAUCUUAAAGGGUUUCCCUUUACGAAUUGUAGUUUAAAGAAGUGUUUUCUGUUGAGGUUUUGGUAAAAGUUCUUUGGAAUAGGACAUCAUAGAGGGUGAGAAUCCCGUAUUUGACCUUUACUUUCAACUUUGUGAUACACUUUCAAAGAGUCGGAUUGUUUGGGAAUGCAGUCCAAAAUGGGUGGUAAAUUUCAUCUAAAGCUAAAUAUUGGCGAGAGACCGAUAGCGAACAAGUACCGUGAGGGAAAGAUGAAAAGAACUUUGAAAAGAGAGUUAAACAGUACGUGAAAUUGUCAAAAGGGAAGCGUUUGACACCAGUGUUGUUUUUCUGAAAAUCAAUUAAAGAACUGUUUAUGCUAAGUUGUUUAGACUUUAUCAGCUAUCUGUUUAGUUUUGAGCUUUUCUUUAAUGCACUUUUCAGUUAACAAGUCAACAUCAAUUUCUUUUGCUGUAAAAAGGCUUGAGGAAGGUGGCUUGAGAUUCGUCUUAAGUGUUUAUAGCCUCUUGCCUAUGCAGUCGGAGAGAUUGAGGUCUGCAGCGUAGAUCCUUCGGGGCUAAAUGCAUUUGUGCUAAGUUAUAGCAUUUCAUAGACAACUUGUUGACUAUGAUUUGUCUUGUAGCUUACUCGCUUAUGUUAUUUUACCUACGCUUAGGAUGUUGAGUCAUCACACAUCUCU
rnacentral:rRNA from 1 species